AUAAAUAAAAAGAUCCUAAGGGCUUAACAAAAAAAAGCCUGGGAACUAAUUGGUAAAAUACAUAAAAUAAACCUAAACCUAGACCUAUACAAUAUAGAAAAGACGCCUGAAAAAAGAUAGACAAAAAUUAACGCCUACAAUGAGGUGGAAAAAUAGAAAAAAGGACGAAAAUGGUGUCUGAAAAGAGCGCCGCAGAAAAGAAAACAAGAACUCAUCCCUGAAGCUUUAUCUCCUACACACACCCCUCCCCAUCGACGAAGCUCCUUCUUUGGAGAAGAGCUAUUUCGAUGGCUUCUUCUUAACCACAUCCCAAAGAGACCUGCCAUUCUUCAACCAGACCCCCCUGAGUCAUCUCAUUUGUCGAAUCUACAGUGACCCCUCCCUGAACCGGAUCUUGUCGUUGUUUCUCAUCCAGUCGAACGGACCUCAAAACACAAUAGACCUAGCAGCCAUAGACAAAGAGAAGCUGUUGUUUCUUCUUCUUCUUCAUAAAACCAACAGACCCUUCUUCCAAAAACCGCACACACACAGUCGCGCGCACGAACAGAUUUCUGAAACAUAGAGUUUAACUGAAGUUGAGAAUCAUUUUUGAGUUUGAAUCUGUUGCCAGUUGCGGCUAAGGUUCGAGGUCUGGGUUAAUAACACAUUUUUGGUUUGGUGCUUUGGAAACUCUCUUCGUCGACUCAUCGCCAAAUAAUGUGCAGCAGGGAGGUUCAGCUCUUUUCAUUCUUUAUGGAUCAAUAGCUUUACAUUAUAUUGUGAUAAGUUUGAAUCUACAUGGAUCUGUUUAAUUUUUGUUGGUUUCCUUGUUCAGUUUAUUCAAUUUUUAUAUUUCUUUUCCUUUGAACCAAGCUUUACAGAUAUGUCCAUGAACUUUGUAUUUUUUUGUUGCAUUUAGUUGGUUUUAAAUUUCCCUUUCUCAGAUCAAUUGUUGGCAGAGAUCUCAAAAUAAUAUGAUCUGACUCUUGGUUAGUUCUUGUCGUGAUUAUGAAGUGAUGAUUAGUUGAAGGCACCGUAAGGGAUUGAAAUGCUAAAAUGAGAAAUACGCAGC
rnacentral:lncRNA from 1 species